rnacentral:misc_RNA from 1 species
UAAAUAUUGCACUUAAAAUCUUGGUUUUGCGUGCUUGCCAAAAUUUAGUUAAUAAGCAGCCUUGAUACAAAAAAGUUUCAUUCAUUCUGUUGGUUUGUUGAGAAUGAAUUCGCCUCUUGACUUUCAUUUGUGGCAAUUGAAAUCAUAUUCAGGAUAGAAAUUCAUUUUAGUUUAAAUCAACACAAACUCUUGUUACCAUCAUCUUAUGAUUUAUCACAGUUUUACUGUAAAAUAAAUGAAAUAUCCAUUUCCCCCUCUUAUUUCCUUCUCUUACAUUUCUGAAUUGAAGGUGUUUACAUUUUCAGAGUAUUUGAAUAAUAGCAGGG